rnacentral:lncRNA from 1 species
CCCUCAAGCCCAACCUUAGAGGGCGCCUAGGCAAGCCUUUUAAAACAUUGGUAAGUUGUAAACAUUACAUAUAUCUCAGUUGCAGAUAAAGAAAGAAGAAGAAGAAAAAUGGUAUGAGGUGUAGAGUAAGCUUAGAGCUGUAAUCAAAAUUUGGCUUGGGCUAACUAAGUCUGAAAUUGUACUAGUAGAAAUAGAUGCUCUAAAUAAUCCGGGCAACUCAUGUAUGCCUAAUCAUGUGUAAAGAAGAAACAUGAUAGAAAAGUAGCUAAAAUAUUGCCUAAUCCUCUAUUUUAUUUAAAGGUAACUGAAAAAUGUUUGGGAAGAUCUGCGUUACAACGGAAAUACUAACAACUAGGAAACUCAAGCACUACAUGAAACUAGAUGUCUUAUUCUCACCAGAUGAGGUUUGAAUAACAAUUUUCUCCUCCUCCAUCCCACCAUCACCUUUCUUCAUUCCUCAUUAAACUUAAUAUAAUACUUUCUUUAUAUUCAACAAAAAAAAUACUUUUAUUUUUUUAAUAAAAAAAUAAAAAUUUCAAAUUAAAAACAAAAUAAUUAUCAAACCAGCACUGCAAUUGGUGCUGAUUUUGCAAAAGUAGUAAUUGGUUAGACAUAGUGGACCAAACUCUAAACCUAAAG